UGCUUAUUUGAGGGAAACAAAGGAGUAAAAACAGCACAUUAGGCAAGAGAAGCUGUUCUACCUUUUAUGUUAUUUGUAUAUUUGGUUACGUAUUUGGUAUUAAUUUCUUCUUGCACUCAAUGGACUGAAAACUAGCUAACGAUAGAGCAGCUGCUGAUUAUGCAGAACAUUUGCUGAUAAAUAACGUUAGAGCCAUACCUUGUUUUAAUAAACAAUUUGCAUGAAUACUGCAUCCAUGGGGG